CCCCUGCGCCCGGCGGCUCUGGGCUCCGCGCCGGGGCCGGCGCCUCCCCGCGCACCAUGCUGGAUAUUUUCAUCCUCAUGUUCUUCGCCAUCAUCGGCCUCGUCGUUCUCUCCUACAUCAUCUACAUGCUGUAGCGCGAUGCCGGCGGCCGCGCGGCGCCGCGCCGGCCGCCGCCUGAGCCGUCUCUCUUGGAUCCUUCUGGAAAAGCAUUAACCCUUCGGAGCCACCGGCACGGAGAAGAGGGGGACCCGGGCCGAGCAGCCCCAGGCGCRGCCCCCAGGACACCCGGAGUCCUUGGGCAACCUGGAGGGAAGGGAAUAAAGA